rnacentral:rRNA from 1 species
UACGGGGGGGGCAAGCGUUGUUCGGAAUUACUGGGCGUGAAGGGGUCGUAGGCGGCCAACUAAGUCGGACGUGAAAUCCCUCGGCUUAACCGGGGAACUGCGUCCGAUACUGGAUGGCUUGAGUUCGGGAGAGGGAUGCGGAAUUCCAGGUGUAGCGGUGAAAUGCGCAGAUAUCAGGAGGAACACCGGUGGCGAAGGCGGGUCUCUGGGCAGUAACUGACGCUGAGGAGCGAAAGCGUGGGGAGCGAACAGG